rnacentral:rRNA from 1 species
UACGAAGGGGCUAGCGUUGUUCGGAAUUACUGGGCGUAAAGCGCGCGCAGGCGGUUCUUCAAGUCAGUGGUGAAAGCCCGGAGCUCAACUCCGGAACUGCCAUUGAAACUGUGGAACUUGAGGAUGAGAGAGGUGAGUGGAAUUCCCAGUGUAGAGGUGAAAUUCGUAGAUAUUGGGAAGAACACCGGUGGCGAAGGCGGCUCACUGGCUCAUUUCUGACGCUCAGGCGCGACAGCGUGGGGAUCGAAACAGG